UUUCUCUUCUAGGGAGGGUAAGGUAUGUGGAUGGGUGAAGGGGGAGAUACAUAAUACCCAGCAAGAAUUAAGUUACAGAUGUAAUUGGCCUUCAAGAUGUAUCUCUCCCCAUCUCCUACCUCAUAGCCAAAAACAAUAUUUAAAAAGAAAAACCAGUUUAACAAAGCCUCCAUCAAGCAAGAGCAACAGUUAAAGCAAUGUUCCAUUUUCUUAGCACCCCACUUCUACAAAGAAGUUCAUGCUUAUAUAUCGCUUAAAACUGAGCAUUAAACCAGAAUCUUCAAUGAGAUAAUGAAUGUAAACCUUUUGCAAAUCUUAAAGUGCUACAUGAAAUAUCAGUUAUUAUUGUUAGACUUCAGUCACCGUAUGACUUCAUUCCACAAUUGAAGCUUCUACUGCAUUCCUGCUGAACUCAAGCAAUGUUUAUAGAGCAAUUAAGGGGUGUAUUGGUAAAUAUUUAACAACCAGGCUUCUUUUUGGGGGGGGGGGUGGAAAGUAUGUAUAGAUCUUUCAAGUUUAAUUUACAUUAAUGCUUUCUUUAGAUAAUUAAUACAACAAUAAAUCAAGUCCUAAUUUAUAGCGUUGUGAAUUU
rnacentral:lncRNA from 1 species